UUAGAUGAGAGGGGACUGCGUUGCAGAGUAGGGAGACAGGCAGAAAAUGUCACCAGAAAACGGCACCAUCACAGAGAAGAAACAGACACCAUCGCAGCACCUAAACUGGGUCUAUGCCAACUGAGAGCAAAAACUGGAUUAAAUUUACUUUUGGAGCUUUGACUUGUUACGACCAUGCCGGAAUUAUCAAGGACACAGGUUCACCAUGUUCACAUCAACAUGUUCCUCCAGUCACGGAUGACGGCAUGACAGCUCUUUAAACAGACAGAAGCUACAAAUCCUCACAUUUCACACAUCAGGAGUGCCGCAUGAGGCCUGUAAACAAACCACCCUGUGACUGCAGAUCCACGCUAUUAAAAGUUACAUUCAGCUCCGAUAAACAAAGUUAACCUUUUAGUGGCAUGAAAUUCUCAGUUGACUGCAGAAAAGCUUGGCCCUGUCAUUUUAAGAUAAAACCUGUUGCUAGUGGCAACAGCACAGUCGGCACUGCUGUCACUGUGGACACGACGGAUAAAUAUCACCGACUCUUAUCUCUGGGUGGCCAAUAAAUGUAAUUCUUUUGGAUGUUUCGGUGUUUACAACAGUGUGACGGAUAUUUAUGACACCUGACACAAGCCUCUGCAGGAAGAUACACAUUUUUUUUAAGUUGGGGGCCGUUUUAAAACCAUUUUUAAUCAACUCUAACAUGUAUGGCUAUGCUGUUAGAGUUGAUUAAACAUCAGGAGAAAUUGUUGUGUUCUUUUUAUUUUAAUUAUAAGUAUUUCAGUUGAUUUACCGAUGACCCAAUUGUAAUCCCUCCCUGACUCAGGCCUUGUGUAGAAGUUGUUCCCUGUGAUGGUGCAAACGUUUGAUCAGGUUUUCCUCUAUUUUACUCUAUUGCUUUACAUAUGUGUCUCCAAUAAAAUAAAAUAAGUAUGGGACUGUAAACAAGGCAAUGAAGAGACAUUAAGAAAGUAAUAACAAGUGAUAAACAGAGUUAAAGAACCUUAUCCAACAACAUGUGAACUGUUUGACCCCUAAAAUUAUUCCCUAAAUUGAAAAAACUUCAUCAAAUGAAGUGUUGCGAACUGAAAGUUUUAAUCUCUGAGUGUUCUGACUGUUAAUGUUAAUGUAAGACUGGGAGAAGGCCAGAUUUUAUAUAUAUACAGUAUAUAUACACACAUAUGUAUGAAAAAAAUAAAAGCUUGGCUUGGUGUACUAAUCACGCACUAAUUAGAGCUCAGCUUCUGUAGCCAGGCAGCAGCUCAAGCUGUACAAGUCAGCGCGACAGGCAGCACCCUGAUCCUGUAUCCUGCACCAACACGAUGCUCAGCCCACUUUAAUGCACGGCUGAAUCAGAAUCUCUACCGUUCUUCACUGUACGGUCACAACAACCUACGACUACUUGAAUGAACUCUGACCAGAGCGGCAUCGAGAAGAACAGAAAAAAAAAAACAGAUGCAGGAAGAAGCAUGGACGUGAACCUAAUCACUGUCAUCAUGUUGUUUGUCUGAAAAACUGUGUAGUGAAGCAUUACUGAUGAAAAGCUGAUGAUGAUGUUUGAGAUUCAUUUCUUGUCUUGUCCACAGUGUUUGUGUGUGUAUUUGUGUCCUUAAAUUGCUUACAUGAUUAAACUGGUCGAAGUGCAGUCGGUUCAACCAUAGUGCUGCCGUGCUGCCCACUAAUAUUUCUCUGUGUUGUCAGUCCCUUGUGAGAACUUCUCUUUAGUUGCAGGCAUGCUCUGUGAGGUCUUGUUUGUUUUUGCUUCACUGUAUGUGUCACUAAAAUGUAGGAAAAGAACCUUAGACAGAAAGGUAGUGGAAUAAAAAAUGCUUGAUUGUGUGUCAA